rnacentral:rRNA from 1 species
GAUGAACGCUGGCGGCGUGCCUAAUACAUGCAAGUCGAGCGAACAGACGAGGAGCUUGCUCCUCUGACGUUAGCGGCGGACGGGUGAGUAACACGUGGAUAACCUACCUAUAAGACUGGGAUAACUUCGGGAAACCGAAGCUAAUACCGGAUAAUAUAUUGAACCGCAUGGUUCAAUAGUGAAAGACGGUUUUGCUGUCACUUAUAGAUGGAUCCGCGCCGCAUUAGCUAGUUGGUAAGGUAACGGCUUACCAAGGCAACGAUGCGUAGCCGACCUGAGAGGGUGAUCGGCCACACUGGAACUGAGACACGGUCCAGACUCCUACGGGAGGCAGCAGUAGGGAAUCUUCCGCAAUGGGCGAAAGCCUGACGGAGCAACGCCGCGUGAGUGAUGAAGGUCUUCGGAUCGUAAAACUCUGUUAUUAGGGAAGAACAAAUGUGUAAGUAACUAUGCACGUCUUGACGGUACCUAAUCAGAAAGCCACGGCUAACUACGUG